AGGAUGAACGCUAGCGACAGGCUUAACACAUGCAAGUCGAGGGGCAGCACAGGUAGCAAUACCGGGUGGCGACCGGCGCACGGGUGAGUAACGCGUAUGCAACUUGCCUAUCAGAGGGGGAUAACCCGGCGAAAGUCGGACUAAUACCGCAUGAAGCAGGGGCCCCGCAUGGGGAUAUUUGCUAAAGAUUCAUCGCUGAUAGAUAGGCAUGCGUUCCAUUAGGCAGUUGGCGGGGUAACGGCCCACCAAACCGACGAUGGAUAGGGGUUCUGAGAGGAAGGUCCCCCACAUUGGUACUGAGACACGGACCAAACUCCUACGGGAGGCAGCAGUGAGGAAUAUUGGUCAAUGGCCGAGAGGCUGAACCAGCCAAGUCGCGUGAGGGAUGAAGGUUCUAUGGAUCGUAAACCUCUUUUAUAAGGGAAUAAAGUGCGGGACGUGUCCCGUUUUGUAUGUACCUUAUGAAUAAGGAUCGGCUAACUCCGUGCCAGCAGCCGCGGUAAUACGGAGGAUCCGAGCGUUAUCCGGAUUUAUUGGGUUUAAAGGGUGCGUAGGCGGCCUUUUAAGUCAGCGGUGAAAGUCUGUGGCUCAACCAUAGAAUUGCCGUUGAAACUGGGGGGCUUGAGUAUGUUUGAGGCAGGCGGAAUGCGUGGUGUAGCGGUGAAAUGCAUAGAUAUCACGCAGAACCCCGAUUGCGAAGGCAGCCUGCCAAGCCAUUACUGACGCUGAUGCACGAAAGCGUGGGGAUCAAACAGGAUUAGAUACCCUGGUAGUCCACGCAGUAAACGAUGAUCACUAGCUGUUUGCGAUACACUGUAAGCGGCACAGCGAAAGCGUUAAGUGAUCCACCUGGGGAGUACGCCGGCAACGGUGAAACUCGAAGGAAUUGACGGGGGCCCGCACAAGCGGAGGAACAUGUGGUUUAAUUCGAUGAUACGCGAGGAACCUUACCCGGGUUUGAACGCAUUCGGACCGAGGUGGAAACACCUUUUCUAGCAAUAGCCGUUUGCGAGGUGCUGCAUGGUUGUCGUCAGCUCGUGCCGUGAGGUGUCGGCUUAAGUGCCAUAACGAGCGCAACCCUUGCCACUAGUUACUAACAGGUAAAGCUGAGGACUCUGGUGGGACUGCCAGCGUAAGCUGCGAGGAAGGCGGGGAUGACGUCAAAUCAGCACGGCCCUUACAUCCGGGGCGACACACGUGUUACAAUGGCGUGGACAAAGGGAGGCCACCUGGCGACAGGGAGCGAAUCCCCAAACCACGUCUCAGUUCGGAUCGGAGUCUGCAACCCGACUCCGUGAAGCUGGAUUCGCUAGUAAUCGCGCAUCAGCCAUGGCGCGGUGAAUACGUUCCCGGGCCUUGUACACACCGCCCGUCAAGCCAUGGGAGCCGGGGGUACCUGAAGUCCGUAACCGAAAGGAUCGGCCUAGGGUAAAACUGGU
rnacentral:rRNA from 1 species